rnacentral:rRNA from 1 species
CCGUGGCAGUGACGGUUAACGGGGGAUUAGGGUUCGAUUCCGGAGAGGGAGCCUGAGAAACGGCUACCACAUCUAAGGAAGGCAGCAGGCGCGCAAAUUACCCAAUUCUAACAGUUUGAGAGAGGUAGUAACAAGAAAUAACAAUACAAGGCAGUUAAAAUGCUUUGUAAUUGGAAUGAUAGAAAUUUAAACCCUUUUUAAAGUAUCAAUUGGAGGGCAAGUCUGGUGCCAGCAGCCGCGGUAAUUCCAGCUCCAAUAGCGUAUAUUAAAAUUGUUGCAGUUAAAAAGCUCGUAGUUGAAGUUCUGCUGAAAGUAACCGGUCUGCUUUUAAUAAAAGUGGUAUCUUGGUAUGUAUUUAGCAAUGAUGUCCUUUGAAGUGUUUUUUACUUUAUUGUAAUAAAGCAUAUUCAGGACUUUUACUUUGAAAAAAUUAGAGUGUUUCUAGCAGGCUAACGCUUUGAAUACUGCAGCAUGGAAUAAAUAAG